rnacentral:misc_RNA from 1 species
AAUUUUGUCAAAUGUUGUAAGAGCACAAGCAACGAUUUAACUUUGUAAAUAGAUAAUUCGAAUAGCACAUUCAAAGGCCUCAGAGCAAAUAAACUUUGCUAACCUUUUAAAACAAUAGUGCCAAGCUCCACACAAUAUUACAACACUAGGCUAUUUAGCAAACUAUGUUUAGAAAAGAUGUACUGCAAGCGAAAUUGAUGAAACAGUUCUAGCCAUUGUUAUCCAGAGAUCCUAAGUCACUUAGUACAAAUAUUUUGUCCCUAACAUAUUAAUAACUCAUACAUCAGGCAAUAACACCACCUGUUUGGUGCAGCAUCGCAUCUAUCUCAUCCCCAUCCUCCAUUUCCAACUCAUCUGGAGUCUGUUCCCCACGAAGGCGACGACCAUCAAAAAGAAAUGCAAUAGAAUUCAUCUCCACAGACUGUCGAUCACAGUACGCAUUCAUAAGUUUUUUCAGUUGAGUGCUCCUCUUAAUCCUGAAGAAAACCUCGUUACCAUCCUACAAAAUGAAACAAAAUUAUAUACAUUGACAAAGUAUAGCAUGUCCCGUAAAGCACCUACUAAAGACCUAAAAUUACUUGCUAGAGACCUACUUCUAACAAAUGUUCUGAGCUGCCAUGACAAAUAAUAGACAGUAAGCAAAUGCAUUAAUGUGCAGAUAAAUUCUGAAAGACGUGAAUAUUUGGUAAGUCAGGACUAUGAAGCCCAAACUAGUAAAAACAAGCAUCAAUCUAGCUCUAUCAAUAUCAUAAUAGCUGAGAGGGUAACUCUUGCUAAUGGUCUAAAUGGACCCAGUCCAUCUAGAAUAAACUUUCAGCAAGGAAACAAUCUGAAAAGGUUAGACAGGCAACAAAGUUAUGAGAGAAGGGAUUUUCUUCUUUAAAGCUAAAAAGAAAACACAUACCAUAAAGGAAAAGAAAUGAGCUGUGACCGAAGGAGCCAAGGGAGAGGAAGAAUUCUAAAUCCUGACAGCAACCCAUUUUCUCUUCAAGUUCAAGCGCCUAAAUACUACAGUGAAUUACCAAUCAAACAGUGGCAAAAUCGAGUACACCAAGCUGCAGACUAUAAGCACUUGAGAACCACAAAAGAAGCCAUCAUGGUUCAUGUUCCAAGAGCCGAGUUAUAACCAUCAUCAAAGUAGCUAAAUCCUUCACUUAGCUUAUCCAUCUGAAAGUCACUAGGACGCCUUAAAACAAAGACCUUCAGGAAUAUCUAAUCAUUCUACGACACCCAGAUCGAUAAUUAAGGACAUAAAUAUCGAGAAGAAAGAAACCUGAUGAGCUAAAUCAAAAACCCUAAUAAAAUUUCAAGUUGGGUACUCAAUUAAAAACCCUAAACACAAGGGGAUUGGGUAAUAAACAAAAACACAGAAAUUAGUCUUACUGAACCCCAGGAAAAGGUCGGGCAUGUGAAACCCAAGCAGUGCAUUUAAGCAGAGAGGAAAAAGGGAAGGAGAUCGGACCUGUCCUUUGACCUUGAGAUUGAUAUGAGCCGAUUGAUCAGUGGGUUUUUUGUCCUCCUCUUGAUUGGUGACUCCCGACAUUCUUAAUUUCUUCGCAGCUCUUUGAUUUCCAGGUGAUGAGAGACGAUAACUGACUCUGAUAUUCAACUACUCUCUCUCUCUCUCUCU